UCUAUGAAUACUUGCUAGAACAGAGAUGCAUGUGGAGGUUUUACAUGAAAAGGCAGAAAGCCCCUAGAAUCCAGCUGCCAGGAGCAGAUGAUUAUUUCUAACAUUUACUAUCACCACAGCCUUACGGAUGUGACCUAAAAGCUGCUGACAGCACAGCUGGAAGAUUCUGCCUCAUUUCAGUGGAGCUGAGAUGUCCAAACCAGACUCUUCAUCUCCAACAUUUCACAGGCCACUGCCACCACGAAGCAAACCUCCCAAGAGGCAGGAGCAGGACUUUCUCAGUGAAUUCCCAGUGCCUGAAGAUCCCCUUGGCACUGGUGAGAGACAGGGAGAGUUUUCCUGCUGUAUUUGGAGCAGGGAGCUAAGCACUGAGGCAGUCCAUGGCAGAAAGGCACUGAGCUGUCAGUGUCUCUGUUUGCUCCUGUAUCAUCCCAGAAUGACAUAAAGGCAUCUUGGCAACGUGUGGAUUUCAUCCCCAAACCCAUAAAAUAGUCAUAGAUCCAGUAAUAGAUUUUAACAUCUUUUGUGGGCUAUUGCUUUCCCUCAUGCUAUCUCCCCUCCACUUUGUGCUAAUUUGUAUUCAAUGCUGCUGUCCUGAAAGCUUCUCUGAAAAUUCCCAGGAGAUCUAUCAUACUUCGCCUGUUUUCCCUUGUUUCUAAAAUUAAUUUAAAUCAAUUAUUUCAUAUAUUCCAUCUUUUUCUUUAAGCCAUUUAGUGAAGAUAUAGCCAAUUAUUCAACAUAAAAUACAACCAGAUCAUUUCACCACAACAGAAAAUGUGAUUUAUCAUCACAUUCAAUUAGAACCCACUGAAGGCAGUGGCAAAAGUCCCAUUUAGCUGAAUAAGGAUCAAGGCUUUGAUUUACUGUGCCAUAGGAAUAACACAUAAUGGAAAAGGCCAGAAUACAUACGGGAUUCCAAUUUCAAAGAGAUUGUUUUGAAUCAGUUGCUUUCCAAGCAUGAUGAUGCUCAGCUGAAUGCAGAGUUCCAUCAGACACCCUCCUGGAGCACACUGAAAAUAAACAAAACCAGAGAGUGUGAA